rnacentral:rRNA from 1 species
CCUACGGGAGGCAGCAGUGAGGAAUAUUGGUCAAUGGGCGAGAGCCUGAACCAGCCAAGUCGCGUGAAGGAUGACGGCCCUACGGGUUGUAAACUUCUUUUGUCAGGGAGCAAUUGGGUCCACGCGUGGGCUUAGCGAGAGUACCUGAAGAAAAAGCAUCGGCUAACUCCGUGCCAGCAGCCGCGGUAAUACGGAGGAUGCGAGCGUUAUCCGGAUUUAUUGGGGUUAAAGGGUGCGUAGGCGGAAUAUCAAGUCAGCGGUAAAGAUUCGGGCGUCAACCCCGUCGUGCCGUUGAAACUGAUGUUCUUGAGUCCGCGGAAAGCAGGCGGAAUUCGUCGUGUAGCGGUGAAAUGCUUAGAUAUGACGAAGAACCCCGAUUGCGAAGGCAGCUUGCUGCAGCGGAACUGACGCUGAUGCUCGAAAGCGCGGGUAUCGAACAGGAUUAGAUACCCGUGUAGUC